GAUGAACGCUGGCGGCGUGCCUAAUACAUGCAAGUCGAGCGAACAGACAAGGAGCUUGCUCCUUUGACGUUAGCGGCGGACGGGUGAGUAACACGUGGAUAACCUACCUAUAAGACUGGGAUAACUUCGGGAAACCGGAGCUAAUACCGGAUAACAUGUUGAACCGCAUGGUUCAACAGUGAAAGACGGUCUUGCUGUCACUUAUAGAUGGAUCCGCGCCGCAUUAGCUAGUUGGUAAGGUAACGGCUUACCAAGGCAACGAUGCGUAGCCGACCUGAGAGGGUGAUCGGCCACACUGGAACUGAGACACGGUCCAGACUCCUACGGGAGGCAGCAGUAGGGAAUCUUCCGCAAUGGGCGAAAGCCUGACGGAGCAACGCCGCGUGAGUGAAGAAGGUCUUCGGAUCGUAAAACUCUGUUAUUAGGGAAGAACAAAUGUGUAAGUAACUAUGCACGUCUUGACGGUACCUAAUCAGAAAGCCACGGCUAACUACGUG
rnacentral:rRNA from 1 species